UAAACCAUCACUUAAUGUGUAGUGCUGCUUCCCACCUUGGUUCUUCACAAUUACUAACAUAGGAAACUUGCAAAGGAGGGGCAAGCAUUUGCAAAAAA